ensembl:lncRNA
CGCGCGGUGGACUUCCGGGAGACGCGGCACCCUGGCAGCCAGCAGCCGCGAGAACUCCACGCAGCCGGGAAAUGUCCCCGCUCCGUGGCCCUGGCCCUUCUGUGCUCAGAUUCCAUCUCGGUUCUGAGUUUAUACUCAGCUUUGUAUUCACCAGAUUUGGAACAAAAGUUUGUCUUUUCACAGAGUGGUCCAGGAGGCUGAAAGGAUUAUGUUACUGGGAAAUCAUCUUCUCCACUCCUGCAAUGUCUAUAAGGUGCAAUUUUCCAGAAAUAAUUUUCGUUUCUUGCUUCGUUUGUUAGUUUUCUCCACAGUGCUUGAGUGGAUUAUCUGUCUGUAGAGUUUGGAAGUGAAUCCGCAUAUGAAAAUUCCCACCCGUCAAUCCCGCUCUUACCUGAGCCAGCUAUCCAUGGAAAACACAUUUUCUAGUGUGCGUGCUGCUCCAUGCUCUACAGCCCCGUUUGAGGAAGUUUGAGGUGUGUAGCUGUCCGUGUGGCUGGAUGGAUGGAUGUAAGUUUGCCAUUCAGUGUUGAGAAAUCCAUUUUUGGUGUAGAUAUAUAAGAUGAGUCUUUCAGUCUAGUUUCUUGUGGGUAAGAUUUUCCUGUAUUCCAUCCUCCCAACGCUGCAAUUGGGUUGAUUUAUUCAUCGCUUUCAUUUUUGUAUAGUUUUACUUUUUAUGAAUAUAAUUUAAUAUUUUAAAUAUUAUUUUACAUAUUUUAAUGAUAUUUUUGUUUUUCUCCUUAUAAAACACAACUGUGCUGUAUGUAGUUUUGAAAUUAAAAAAAUUUUUAAGUUCAUUUAUUUUGAGAGAGACGGAGACAGCACAAGUAGGGGAGGGGCAGAGAGAGAGAGGGAGAGAGAGAGAAUUCUAAGCAGCCUCCACACUGCCAGCGCAGAGCCUGAUGCAGGGGUUGAACUCAUGAAGCUUGAGAUCAUGACUUGAGCCGACAGCAAGAAGUGGACACUUAACCAACUGAGUCACUCGGGUGACCCUGUGGUCUUUUACCCUUAUUAUUUCUCUGAAUAGUGUACCACCACCAUGAUUUUGAAUAUUGUUGUAGUUUAUUUAUUUGAAUUCUCGUAAAAUAUUCCAUUCUGUAAAUAUACCACAGAUCAUUUAAUCCACUCAUCAAUUGAUGGGUCUUUGAUUCCUCCCUCUCCACCAGAAUUUUGUUGCUGUAGACAGUGAAGAUUUGGACAUUCUAUUCUAUGUUUCCUGGUGUACAUGUGUAAGAAUUUCUCUUGUGUGUAGACCUUGGAAUAGAAUUGGUUGGUUAUGAGAUACUCCUAAGUUUUUAAGUUCUUCCUCAUUUUACAGGCAAGUUGUGACAACUGAGCCUGAUUCUAUGUAGGCUUCCAUUGAAGAAAUACUUUACCCAACUAUUUAAGCCUGCUGGAGACUUUCUUGCCUGCUUAAGUACAUGAAAGCUAGAAAUUCUAUCUGCGUCCAUGUAAAUAAAUUUUGUAUGUUUCAUGUCAUGUGCUGACCUUCUUAGUACAGAACCUUUAAGAUUCAUUUCCGUACACAUUCCAAAGGUUUCUGCCAAUGUAAGUUAACUACUUGUUGCAAUUGUUUUGAUACAUGAGCAAUAAAUCCAAAUUCACACUAUAUAGUUGUCCCUUUGGGGCAUUCUAGUAUCUACAGCUAGUUACGGGUUUGGAAUGAAUUAUGAUGCUUAUGACUUUAGGUGAAUUGGCAUUCUUCUAGAAGCUAACUUUCUCAGGUGAGAUCUUCUCUGUGUCUUUAAUCAAGGAAGGGCUAGUCUCCUUAGAUGAGGGACUCGUUCUU